rnacentral:rRNA from 1 species
UGGGGAAUAUUGGACAAUGGGCGAAAGCCUGAUCCAGCCAUGCCGCGUGUGUGAAGAAGGUCUUCGGAUUGUAAAGCACUUUAAGUUGGGAGGAAGGGCAGUAAGCGAAUACCUUGCUGUUUUGACGUUACCGACAGAAUAAGCACCGGCUAACUCUGUGCCAGCAGCCGCGGUAAUACAGAGGGUGCAAGCGUUAAUCGGAAUUACUGGGCGUAAAGCGCGCGUAGGUGGUUCGUUAAGUUGAAUGUGAAAGCCCCGGGCUCAACCUGGGAACUGCAUCCAAAACUGGCGAGCUAGAGUAGGGCAGAGGGUGGUGGAAUUUCCUGUGUAGCGGUGAAAUGCGUAGAUAUAGGAAGGAACACCAGUGGCGAAGGCGACCACCUGGGCUCAUACUGACACUGAGGUGCUAAAGCGUGGGGAGCAAACAGG